UCAGCUCAGUAGUGUUUAUGUUUUCAUGUAAGAGGUUAGGUUUAGGUUCUGAAUUUUUAUUAUAUUUUAUUUCUAAUUUUGGUGGUGCAGUUAGGAAGUUUCCGGAGUUGCGGUGUGAAUUCUCGUAAUGUGUCAUUCUUUGUCUAAACGAGGGAAAGUGUAAAUGGGUAAAUGCCGUUGUAAACCGGGCCUCGGUGAUGACCAGCGACGUCAGCGAUCGACCAGUAAAAGAUCCUGCAAAUAUUGGACCUGCAUACCGGAUCCCAACUGCGAUGGGGGAUGGUUCGGGAUGGUGAAUUUUGAAUGAACUUUUUAUAAUUUUUAUGAGAGAAGAAAAAACGAAUCUCUUCCAAGCUACCGAAGAGAUAUUUGUUGAUUUCCAGGGGAGAUUGAGGCUACUAAAUACACAGUUGUGAUAAACAAAAAAUAGUUUCUCAGUAUUCAACAUCAAAAAUAAACACAAAGAAAGCAAGCACUUUCAACUACUCGUA